rnacentral:sRNA from 1 species
AAGUGAAGAAAACCAUACUUUAUUAAUAAAAUCAUCCUUUACAAAAGCUGGUAAAGGAUGCGAUACCGCACUCAGUUCGGUAUCGAUAUGGUCUUCCUGGGGGAGCCCGGGACAACCAGGUCGUCUAAGGACAGGUGCAUCGGCCCAGGUCGGAAACGGAGCAGGUCAAAGCUCCGUUUUUCUCAAACAGCAGAUCUGCAACAAGAAUUGCUGCAGAGCUUUUUUU